GAUGAAGAACGCAGCGAAAUGCGAUAAGUAAUGUGAAUUGCAGAAUUCAGUGAAUCAUCGAAUCUUUGAACGCAUCUUGCGCUCCUUGGUAUUCCUUGGAGCAUGCCUGUUUGAGUAUCAUGAGCAAAUCUCAAAGUCAAUUCCUUUUGUUAAUUCAAUUGGGUUUUGCUUUGGACUUGGAGGUCUUGCAGAUUUCACAGUCUGCUCCUCUUAAAUGCAUUAGCUGGAUCUCAGUAAUUAUGCUUGGUUCCACUCGGCGUGAUAAGUAUCACUCGCUGAGGACACUGUUAAAAAGGUGGCCAGGAAAAUACUGAUUGAACCGCUUCUAACGGUCUAUUAAGUUAGACAAUUACCCUUAAGUUUGAUCUCAAAUCAGGUAGGACUACCCGCUGAACUUAAGCAUAUCAAUAAGCGGAGGA
rnacentral:misc_RNA from 1 species